GGCCGGGUGGCGCAAUGGAUAGCGCGUUGGACUUCGAAUCCAGAGGUUGCGGGUUCGAGUCCCGUCCUGGUCG
rfam:Batrachochytrium dendrobatidis JAM81 unplaced genomic scaffold BATDEscaffold_10, whole genome shotgun sequence.